GCAGCAGUACAGAAAAAGGAAUCCCCAGCAGGCCAAUGUGGAAAUGGGUGCCACCUAGAACUGGGGUACCACUGAGACCCGCUGACCCACCAGCCUGGGCUCCCUUUACAUUGUACUGCUGUGACCAGCCUGCAUUUUCACCAGCACAGAUAUAGAGGAACUUUGCUACAAAUUGAAGCUCUGAACAAUGGACUGAAUGACCCAUCCAAGCUGUGAAUGUACUCCAGAGACUUGACUUAAGCAAGCAGUUUAUUCCAUCACUGCUACAAGCCUGAGCAAAAAACUUUGCCAUUACGGGACAUUCAAAUGAAAUCAGGACUGCCCCUUAGAAAUUCAUUUGCUUCUGCUGUUCAUUCUUGUAGUCAAGUCUGGUAUCGCAGGCCCCUAUGGACUGGAGGCAAAGGACUGUAAGAACUCAGUAAGUGAAGCUGACUUAAUGGAUUCUGUUUUAUUUCUGCAAUCCUCAAAGCCCGCAAGAUAGCAGGUGCAAACUUGGAAUAAUGAG